AGAAAUAUGUACCUGUAAAGAUAUUCUGUUUGGAAACACAGAGAGUUUCUCAGAAACCUGCACUCAGACAACCAAGAUGACUGGUUCUGCCCCCUAGAACAAAAUGGGUAUAAUUCUUGAACAACUGGCCAAGUUCUAACACAGGAUACAGAAGUGUUUAAUUGUUGGAAAUCUGCCCACUCAGCUCCAAGGACUAGAAAUAAUGGAAUCAAGCUUCCCACAAGGAAAACCUUAUUUCCCUUUCCAAAAGCUCUUAGUCCCUUGAAGCAGGAAGACAUGCCAGAAGUAAAUAAUCUGAAGUUGAAGACAUCCAUAGAAAAAGACUCUGCUUUGAUUUUCAUGUUCUCAAGAGGAAGAAGGGACAUGUGAUCUGCUUAAAGAUCUCAUUAACUCUUAAUUGUAGACUGAUAAAACCAAAACCUCUAUGUGGUAGUCCAGGCUGAGUUAUUUUGGGAAUUAUUGGUUAA